AGGGACUCGGAUUUGUUUACCAAUAGUCUAUUUACUAAAGCUGGAAAGGAACCCUCAGUCUGAAGAACAGUGCGUCUCUUCCAUUGAUCUUCCAAUCCACCUUGAUUCUUUCCAUUUUUGGUAAAUGGGGUGUCAAACAAGAAUCGGUCAAAUACCCGGGCUCGAACACUUCCAGUAGAGAGAGAGAAAAUUCUUUCUCUCCUACUUCCCAAAUCUUCAUCUUCCAUGACUGGAUCAACAGCAGUAAUCUGAAGGUAACAGACACCAGGCUGUAACUCCUCUGCCUUCACUUGUCUAGAAUCCGGAAUAAUAUGCAAAGUGUGAUUACCAUCC
rnacentral:lncRNA from 1 species